AUUGAACGCUGGCGGCAUGCCUUACACAUGCAAGUCGAACGGCAGCACGGGUGCUUGCACCUGGUGGCGAGUGGCGAACGGGUGAGUAAUACAUCGGAACAUGUCCUGUAGUGGGGGAUAGCCCGGCGAAAGCCGGAUUAAUACCGCAUACGAUCUACGGAUGAAAGCGGGGGCCCUUCGGGCCUCGCGCUAUAGGGUUGGCCGAUGGCUGAUUAGCUAGUUGGUGGGGUAAAGGCCUACCAAGGCGACGAUCAGUAGCUGGUCUGAGAGGACGACCAGCCACACUGGGACUGAGACACGGCCCAGACUCCUACGGGAGGCAGCAGUGGGGAAUUUUGGACAAUGGGCGAAAGCCUGAUCCAGCAAUGCCGCGUGUGUGAAGAAGGCCUUCGGGUUGUAAAGCACUUUUGUCCGGAAAGAAAUCCUUGGCCCUAAUACGGUCGGGGGAUGACGGUACCGGAAGAAUAAGCACCAGCUAACUACGUG
rnacentral:rRNA from 1 species